rnacentral:lncRNA from 10 species
CGCACAUGCUCUGCAGGGGUAGUUCCUCUCAUCCUCUCACCAAGAAAACUCAGCACCAGAAAGAGAAGAGGUUUGUGGAAAAGACAACAAGUUUACUCUGGGAUGUGUUAAUGCAAUGGGCUGCAUGUGUUCACCCCUCCCCAAAUCCAUGUGUUGAAAUCCGAAUCCCCAACAUGAUGGUGAGGAGGUGGAGGCUCUGGGAAGUGAUUAGGUCAUGAUGGUGAGGAGGUGGAGGAUCUGGAAGUGAUCAGGUCCUGAUGGUGAGGAGGUGGAGGAUCUGGAAGUGAUUAGGUGGUGAUGGUGAGGAGGUGGAGGAUCUGGAAGUGAUUAGGUCGUGAUGGUGAGGAGGUGGAGGAUCUGGGAAGUGAUUAGGUCGUGAUGGUGAGGAGGUGGAGGAUCUGGAAGUGAUUAGGUCGUGAUGGCGAGGAGGUGGAGGAUCUGGGAAGUGAUUAGGUCGUGAUGGUGAGGAGGUGGAGGAUCUGGGAAGUGAUUAGGUCGUGAUGGUGAGGAGGUGGAGGCUCUGGGAAGUGAUUAGGUAGUGAUGGUGAGGAGAUGGAGGAUCUGGAAGUGAUUAGCUCAUGAUGGUGAGGAAGUAGAGGAUCUGGAAGUGAUUAGGUCGUGAUGGUGAGGAGGUGGAGGAUCUGGAAGUGAUUAGGUCAUGAUGGUGAGGAGGUGGAGGCUCUGGACGUGAUUAGGUCGUGAUGGUGAGGAGGUGGAGGAUCUGGAAGUGAUUAGGUCGUGAUGGUGAGGAGGUGGAGGAUCUGGAAUUGAUUAGGUCGUUUUGGUGACAAGGUGGAGGAUCUGGAAGUGAUUAGGUCGUGAUGGUGAGGAGGUGGAGGAUCUGGAAGUGAUUAGGUCGUGACGGUGAGGAGGUGGAGGAUCUGGAAGUGAUUAGGUCGUCAGGGUGCAGCCCUCCUGAAUGGGAUUAGUGCCCUUAAACCAGAGGCCCCAGAGGCAUCCCUGGCUCCUUCCACUAUGAACCAGAAAGUGGGACCUCACCA